rnacentral:tRNA from 1 species
GAGCUCGUGGCGCAGCCAGGUAGCGCACCGCUCUGAUAAGGCGGGGGUCCUGGGUUCAAAUCCCAGCGAGCUCA